rnacentral:rRNA from 1 species
UACGUAGGGUGCAAGCGUUGUCCGGAAUUAUUGGGCGUAAAGAGCUUGUAGGCGGUUUGUCGCGUCUGCUGUGAAAUUUCGGGGCUCAACCCCGAACUUGCAGUGGGUACGGGCAGACUAGAGUGUGGUAGGGGAGACUGGAAUUCCUGGUGUAGCGGUGAAAUGCGCAGAUAUCAGGAGGAACACCGAUGGCGAAGGCAGGUCUCUGGGCCACUACUGACGCUGAUGCGCGAAAGCCAGGGGAGCGAACGGG